AUUGAACGCUGGCGGCAUGCCUUACACAUGCAAGUCGAACGGCAGCACGGGGGCGAACCCUGGUGGCGAGUGGCGAACGGGUGAGUAAUACAUCGGAACGUGCCCGGUAGUGGGGGAUAGCUCGGCGAAAGCCGGAUUAAUACCGCAUACGACCUGCGGGUGAAAGCGGGGGAUCGCAAGACCUCGCGCUAUCGGAGCGGCCGAUGUCAGAUUAGGUUGUUGGUGGGGUAAAGGCCACCAAGCCGACGAUCUGUAGCUGGUCUGAGAGGACGACCAGCCACACUGGGACUGAGACACGGCCCAGACUCCUACGGGAGGCAGCAGUGGGGAAUUUUGGACAAUGGGCGCAAGCCUGAUCCAGCCAUGCCGCGUGCGGGAAGAAGGCCU
rnacentral:rRNA from 1 species